AUGACUUCCUCACAGAUGGAGGAGGAAAUUAAUCCGCUUCGUGAGGUCGCUGACUCCUUGCAAAGCUGGAUGGUGCGUAUUGGGAGCUUUCUGGAGCGCGCGGAGGCUGCUCUGCAAAGUCUCCCUCUUGCACAUGCUCCCGUGGUUGAGUCUUGUGUUGGCUUGUUGAUGGAUGAGGCAGGUGCGGAGCUCUUUGGUAGCUUCUCACCCCGUGUUGGGUCUAGUUCGAUGCCCCUUGUGUUUCUGGAGUCCAUGGGUGAGGCUUCCGCUGAGGUUGUGUCUCCGGUGUUGCAGAUCACGCUCGAGUUGCAGGUGUUGUGUGGGGAACAUGUUUCGUCUGUGUCAAUGGAGCAGCUCAAGUUUGAAUCUCUCCAGGCUUCGUAG
rnacentral:rRNA from 1 species